AGCCGCGUAUGUUAGUGGUAGACUUCCGGGUUGUGGUCCCGGCGACCCUUGUUCAAACCAGGGCGCGGCUA
rnacentral:tRNA from 1 species